rnacentral:rRNA from 1 species
CCUACGGGAGGCAGCAGUGGGGAAUAUUGGACAAUGUGGGAAACCCUGAUCCAGCGACGCCGCGUGAGUGAAGAAGUAUUUCUGUACGUAAAGCUCUAUCAGCAGGGAAGAAAAUAACGGUACCUGACUAAGAAGCCCCGGCUAACUACGUGCCAGCAGCCGCGGUAAUACGGAGGGGGCAAGCGUUAUCCGGAUGGACUGGGUGUAAAGGGGGCGUAGAGGGCAGAGUAAGGCUAGAGUGAAAUGCCGGGGCCCAACCCCGGAACUGCUCUGGAAACUGGGAAGCUGGAGUGCAGGAGAGGUAGGCGGAAUGCCUGGUGUAGCGGUGAAAUGCGUAGAUAUCAGGAGGAACACCGGAGGCGAAGGCGGCUUACUGGACUGUAACUGACGUUGAGGCUCGAAGGCGUGGGGAGCGAACAGGAUUAGAUACCCUGGUAGUC